GAUGAACGCUGGCGGCGGGCCUAAUACAUGCAAGUCGAGCGAAAAGACAGGGAGCGUGCUCCCUUGACGUUGGCGGCUGACGGGCGGGUGACACGUGCAUAGCCUACUUCUUAUACGUGGAGAACUUCGUGAAACCGGAUCUAAUACUGGAUAAUAUGAUCAACCGCAUGGAUCAAGAGUGAAUCGGGGUUUUGGCGACUGUUUUAGCUGAUGUCGCGCCAGAUUAGCUAGUUGGUAAGGUAACGGCUUACCAAGGCGACGAUGCGUAGCCGAGCUGAGAGGGUGAUCGGCCACACUGGAACUGAGACACGGUCCAGACUCCUACGGGAGGCAGCAGUAGGGAAUCUUCCGCAAUGGGCGCAAGCCUGACGGAGCCACGCCGCGUGAGUGAUGAAGGUCUUCGGAUUGUAAAACUCUGUUAUUAGGGAAGAACAGAUGUGUAAGUAACUCUGCACGUCUUGACGGUACCUAAUCAGAAAGCCACGGCUAACUUCGUG
rnacentral:rRNA from 1 species